rnacentral:rRNA from 1 species
GAGUUUGAUCGUGGCUCAGAUUGAACGCUGGCGGCAUGCUUUACACAUGCAAGUCGAACGGGCUUAGGGGCUUGCUCCUAAGUUUAGUGGCGAACGGGUGAGUAAUGCAUCGGAACGUACCGUGUAGUGGGGGAUAACCCGGCGAAAGUCGGAUUAAUACCGCAUACGAUCUAAGGAUGAAAGCAGGGGAUCGCAAGACCUUGCGCUAUACGAGCGGCCGAUGUCGGAUUAGCUAGUUGGUAGGUAAAGGCCUACCAAGGCAACGAUCCGUAGCGGGUCUGAGAGGAUGAUCCGCCACACUGGGACUGAGACACGGCCCAGACUCCUACGGGAGGCAGCAGUGGGGAAUUUUGGACAAUGGACGAAAGUCUGAUCCAGCCAUGCCGCGUGAGUGAAGAAGGCCUUC